AAAACUUUCAACAACGGAUCUCUUGGUUCUGGCAUCGAUGAAGAACGCAGCGAAAUGCGAUAAGUAAUGUGAAUUGCAGAAUUCCGUGAAUCAUCGAAUCUUUGAACGCACAUUGCGCCCUUUGGUAUUCCGGAGGGCAUGCCUGUUCGAGCGUCAUUG
rnacentral:rRNA from 1 species